rnacentral:lncRNA from 1 species
AGAGAGAGAGAGAGAGAGAGAUAAAGAGAGAGAGAGAGAGAGAGAGAGAGGGGUAGGGAAGAGAAAAUCCAGCGGAGGGAGCAGAGACAAAGCAUGAUGGAGGAAGUGAAGUGUACUCGGCAGCAUGUGGACCAUGUGCUCAGCAUGUAACUGCGGAGUGUCGCGCCCUGGAAAGGUGUCUGCAACCCCGGGCUCCCUCCUGCACGACUCUUGGUGUUUGCAACAGCAAGGGGCGGAGGAAGAAAACUGGAGUCUGGAGAUAGACAACCAGAAGAAGCUGAAAUCGCCAAGGUGAAGAUGAUUGACAAAGUGGAGAUGAUUGACAUUGGUCAUCCAUUCUUCUACCGGUGUCUCAGAGGUGAUUGACUGCAAGUCCAGGUGCUUUCUCUGUGGUGUAGACUAGAGACAGUGAAGGGGGAGUAGUCACUGUAGAUAGGAGAGAAGUGCAUGGGUCUUGUCUGUGAUCUACAGGACUCUCACUGUUCAUUUCAAUCAAUCGACAGAACCAUGUGGACGUCUCUUAGCUGAUAACGAGACCUCUCCCUCUCUUUUUUUCUGAAUGGGUGUCCUCUCUCUAACCUCUCAAUUGAGAGGAAUGUAACAGGACACUGCCCUCCACUGCGAUAGGCUCAGCCCCUUUCAGCAAGGGACUAUAAGAGCUCAGUCUCAGCUCAGAGUGUGUAAGAGAGAGUCUGUCUGUCUGUCUGUCUGUCUGUGUCAGAGGGGCUGAGGGAAAGAGAGGGAGGGAGGUAGGUAGAGAGACACAGACAGACAGACAGAAAGACAGACAGACAGCAGAGAGAGAGAUAAAGAAAGAGGAAUAGAGGGGGAAAGAGAGAGAGAGAGAAAGAAGGGAAUAGAGGGGAAAGAGGGAGAGAGAGAAAGAAGGGAAUAGAGGGGACAGAGAGAGAUAAAGAGGAAUAGAGGGGGAAAGAGAGGGAGAGGUAAAGAAAGAGGAAUAGAGGGGGAAAGAGAGGGAGAGGUAAAGAAAGAGGAAUAGAGGGGGAAAGAGAGGGAGAGGUAAAGAAAGAGGAAUAGAGGGGGAAAGAGAGGGAGAGGUAAAGAAAGAGGAAUAGAGGGGGAAAGAGAGGGAGAGGUAAAGAAAGAGGAAUAGAGGGGGAAAGAGAGGGAGAGGUAAAGAAAGAGGAACAGAGGGGGAAAGAGAGGUAAAGAAAGAGGAAUAGAGGGGGAAAGAGAGGGAGAGGUAAAGAAAGAGGAAUAGAGGGGGAAGAGAGAGAGGUAAAGAAAGAGGAAUAGAGGGGAAAGAGAGAGAGUUAAUGCUGUAACAUGUGAUAGUGUUUUUUUCUCGGCAGGGCUGGGUUGUGAGAGCGGGGUCGGGAGCGGGGUCGGCAGUGUGGUGGGAAAGCACCUUUAGCCCAGAGGGACUUAAAGAGAGAGAGAGAGAGUGAGUGUGUGUAUGUCUGUGAGAGUGUGUGUGUGUGUGUCUGUGAGAGAGAGUGUGUCUGUGUGUUUGUGUCUGUGUGCGUGUCUGUGUGAGAGAGUGUGUGUGUGUCUGUGUGAGAGUGUGUAUGUGUCUGUGUGUGCGUGUCUAUGUGAGAGAGUGUGUGCAUGUCUGUGUGAGAGAGUGUGUGUGUGUCUGUGUGUGCGUGUCUGUGUGAGAGAGUGUGUGCGUGUCUGUGUGUGCGUGUCUGUGUGAGAGAGUGUGUGUGUGUGUGUGUGUGUGUGUGUGUGUGUGUGUGUGUGUGUGUGUGUGUGUGUGUGUGUGUGUGUGUGUGUGUGUGUGUGUGUGUGUGUGUGUGUGUGUCGGCUUCAGCACAGCGCUGUCACUUUAAGCCUGUUACUGAUUACACUCUGAAGAAUGUAACCGAAGGAGAAAAAAGACUGAAAGAGAAAGAGAAAGGGAGAGGAGAGGAGAGAGAGGAGAGGGGGGAGAGGGAGAGAGGAGAGAGAGAGGGAGAGAGAGAGAAAGGAGAGAGAGAGACAUGUAAGGACAGAUUCUUUUGAAUUUGGUUUAGUUAAGUUUGGAAGUUAGAGAGACAAUUCUCUCUCUUCUCUCCCUGAGAGAGGCAAACUGGAGGGGAACCCCAGAUUAUCUGACAGAGAGAGCGGGGAGGGGGCAGAGAGAAAGUGGAAGAAGAGGGGAACCGACAGAGAGACAGACCAACACAGAGAGAGAGACAGAGAGAAAGAGAAAUGGAGAGGGUCCAGCGAGAAGCUCACAGCCAUCAGGAGGAAAUGCUCUGAGUAGAAUGGAUCCUGAUGAUCAUGAUGAAGAUUCUGAAGAUUCUUCCAAGCAGCAAAGUCAUCCACGUGGAUCCUCUCUAUCUGUGACCCAGUCCCUCGAUCUCCCCAUCCCUCUCCUCCAUUCAUUUACUCUGUAUUUGCGUGUUGGUCAGUUGCUCAGUAGGCAGUGUAGAUCCUGUAUAAUGAUCAGCAGCUACAUCUGGCUACUGGGUCUCUGAAGACACGCCUCCUACUUCCUGCCUAGUGGUUAAUUGCACAUUUCAUUUCUCUCUGAUUGGCUAGUAUGUUAUCAUAU